rnacentral:rRNA from 1 species
UACGGAAGGUCCGGGCGUUAUCCGGAUUUAUUGGGUUUAAAGGGAGCGUAGGCUGGAGAUUAAGCGUGUUGUGAAAUGUAGACGCUCAACGUCUGCACUGCAGCGCGAACUGGUUUCCUUGAGUACGCACAAAGUGGGCGGAAUUCGUGGUGUAGCGGUGAAAUGCUUAGAUAUCACGAAGAACUCCGAUUGCGAAGGCAGCUCACUGGAGCGCAACUGACGCUGAAGCUCGAAAGUGCGGGUAUCGAACAGG